rnacentral:hammerhead_ribozyme from 1 species
AUCCACCUGACGAGUCCCAGAUACGACGAAAUGCGCAUUAUCCUGGUGGAU